AUACGUAGGGGGCGAGCGUUGUCCGGAAUCACUGGGCGUAAAGCGUGCGUAGGCGGUCAAGCAAGUCCGAGGUGAAAGACCGAGGCUCAACCUCGGGGUGGCCUUGGAAACUGUUUGACUUGAGUGCUGGAGAGGCAAGGGGAAUUCCACGUGUAGCGGUGAAAUGCGUAGAUAUGUGGAGGAAUACCAGUGGCGAAGGCGCCUUGCUGGACAGUGACUGACGCUGAGGCACGAAAGCGUCGGGAGCAAACAGGAUUAGAUACCCUGGUAGUCCACGCCGUAAACGAUGAGUGCUAGGUGUUGGGGGGGUUACCCUUCAGUGCCGAAGGAAACCCAAUAAGCACUCCGCCUGGGGAGUACGGUCGCAAGACUGAA
rnacentral:rRNA from 1 species